rnacentral:rRNA from 1 species
UACAGAGGUCUCAAGCGUUGUUCGGAUUCAUUGGGCGUAAAGGGUGCGUAGGUGGCGCCAUAAGUCAGGUGUGAAAUCUCGGGGCUCAACCCCGAAACUGCAUUUGAUACUGUGGUGCUCGAGUAACUGGAGAGGAGAUUGGAAUUUACGGUGUAGCAGUGAAAUGCGUAGAUAUCGUAAGGAAGACCAGUGGCGAAGGCGAAUCUCGGACAGUUACUGACACUGAGGCACGAAGGCCAGGGGAGCAAACGGG